rnacentral:snRNA from 1 species
AUACUUACCUGGUGCCGGGGUAUCCGUGAUCAUCCAGGCGGAGCCCCCAGGGCGAGGCGCUGCCAUUGCACUGCGGCGGUGUUGACCCCUGCCACUACCCCAAACUGGGGCAGAUGGGGCAUGCAAUUUUUGGUAGUGGGGGACUGCGUUCGCGCUAUCCCCCU